AACAGUGGAUGGAAUCAAUGAUCCUCAAGCAUUGGAGCCCAUAACACCGAACCAUCUCAUUAUGAUGAAAUCUAAGAUUGCUCUUCCUCCCCCUGGAGUGUUUGUCAAAGAGGACCUAUAUGCCACAAAGAGGUGGAGGAGAGUCCAGUAUCUCAUUGAACAAUUCUGGAGUCGCUGGAAAAGAGAAUAUUUAUUGAACAUUUCCAUGAGACAGAAAUGGCACUCAGCUCAGCGCAACCUGAAAAAAGAGGACAUUGUCAUUAUCAAAGAUGAUAACCUUCCAAGGAAUCAGUGGCAACUAGGUCGAGUGGUUGAAACUGUUCAAGGCAGUGAUGGCUUGGUCCGUCGAGUCAAAGUUCAAGUUGGAGAGCGAAAGUCAAAUUCCUCUUCUAAACCCUCAGUUAUUGAGAGGCCAAUCCAGAAAUUGGUUCUUCUUUUGGAAAAUUAAUGAGAACAGAAGAACAACUUUUGUACAGUUCAUUUACUUCCUGAUAGUUUAUGCAAACAUAUUCAUUUAGUAGAGUCAGGAAAUCCUGUUCAAUUGAUUUACCCUUUAUAUGUUACUUUGUUCUUUCAUUGUGACAGGAUUUGGUGGGAGUGUAAAUGGCUACUAAAUGUUAAAAUUCUCCUUCUUGUUCAUUAGUCAAACAGUGACACCUUGUGGUUAAUUUGUGCUUUUAUUUUGAAUAACGCUAGACUUCUUCUUCGUGUGUUUUGUGGUUCUGCACUUCCUGUUCUUGCUAAGCGUGAUGAGUCAGCGUUAGAUCCUGAAGAAAGCUAAAGAAAAUCGUUAAAAUAGCGCCCUUGGAAAGCAGAAUGAGUUUUCACGGUGUCUAAAGAUUAAACUGCACCCGUUUGGAACUCCCUGCGUCUGGCUGUUUAUUCCAAGUGGCCGCUACAAACACCACC